rnacentral:rRNA from 1 species
ACUACGGGUGGCAGCAGUGAGGAAUAUUGGUCAAUGGACGAGAGUCUGAACCAGCCAAGCAGCGUGAAGGAUGACUGCCCUAUGGGUUGUAAACUUCUUUUAUAUGGGAGUAAAAUGUUCCACGUGUGUGAUUUUGUAUGUACCAUAUGAAUAAGGAUCGGCUAACUCCGUGCCAGCAGCCGCGGUAAUACGGAGGAUCCGAGCGUUAUCCGGAUUUAUUGGGUUUAAAGGGUGCGUAGGUGGAUUGAUAAGUCAGUUGUGAAAUGUUGGGGCUUAACCGGAAAAUUGCAGUUGAAACUGGCAGUCUAGAGUACAGUAGAGGUAGGCGGAAUGCGUGGUGUAGCGGUGAAAUGCUUAGAUAUCACGCAGAACUCCGAUUGCGAAGGCAGUUCACUGGACUGCAACUGACACUGAGGCUCGAAAGUGUGGGUAUCAAACAGGAUUAGAUACCCUAGUAGUC